GAGUUUGAUCCUGGCUCAGGAUGAACGCUGGCGGUCUGCUUAACACAUGCAAGUCGAACGGAGUCCUUCGGGAUUUAGUGGCGGACGGGUGAGUAACGCGUGAGAAUCUGCCCUUAGGUUGGGGACAACAGUUGGAAACGACUGCUAAUACCCAAUGUGCCGAGAGGUGAAAGGUUAACUGCCUGGGGAUGAGCUCGCGUCUGAUUAGCUAGUUGGAGUGGUAACGGCACACCAAGGCGACGAUCAGUAGCUGGUCUGAGAGGAUGAUCAGCCACACUGGGACUGAGACACGGCCCAGACUCCUACGGGAGGCAGCAGUGGGGAAUUUUCCGCAAUGGGCGAAAGCCUGACGGAGCAAGACCGCGUGAGGGAGGAAGGCCUAUUGGUUGUAAACCUCUUUUGAUAGGGAAGAACACAAUGACGGUACCUAUCGAAUCAGCAUCGGCUAACUCCGUGCCAGCAGCCGCGGUAAUACGGAGGAUGCAAGCGUUAUCCGGAUUUAUUGGGCGUAAAGCGUCCGUAGGUGGCAAACCAAGUCAGUUGUUAAAGCGUAGAGCUUAACUCUAUAAGGGCAAUUGAAACUGGUUAGCUAGAGUGCGAUAGGGGCAAGGGGAAUUCCCAGUGUAGCGGUGAAAUGCGUAGAUAUUGGGAAGAACAUCGGUGGCGAAGGCGCCUUGCUGGGUCUGCACUGACACUGAGGGACGAAAGCUAGGGGAGCGAAAGGGAUUAGAUACCCCUGUA
rnacentral:rRNA from 1 species